GAUGAACGCUGGCGGCGUGCUUAACACAUGCAAGUCGAACGGAAAGGCCCAAGCUUGCUUGGGUACUCGAGUGGCGAACGGGUGAGUAACACGUGGGUGAUCUGCCCUGCACUUCGGGAUAAGCCUGGGAAACUGGGUCUAAUACCGGAUAGGACCACUUCUUGGAUGUUGUGGUGGAAAGUUUUUUCGGUGUGGGAUGAGCUCGCGGCCUAUCAGCUUGUUGGUGGGGUAAUGGCCUACCAAGGCGUCGACGGGUAGCCGGCCUGAGAGGGUGUACGGCCACAUUGGGACUGAGAGACGGCCCAGACUCCUACGGGAGGCAGCAGGGGGGAAGAUUGCACAAUGGGCGCAAGCCUGAUGCAGCGACGCCGCGUGGGGGAUGACGGCCUUCGGGUUGUAAACUCCUUUCGCUAGGGACGAAGCGUUUUGUGACGGUACCUGGAGAAGAAGCACCGGCUAACUACGUG
rnacentral:rRNA from 1 species